AGUGAACGCUGGCGGUAGGCCUAACACAUGCAAGUCGAACGGCAGCACAGUAAGAGCUUGCUCUUACGGGUGGCGAGUGGCGGACGGGUGAGGAAUACAUCGGAAUCUACUUUUUCGUGGGGGAUAACGUAGGGAAACUUACGCUAAUACCGCAUACGACCUACGGGUGAAAGCAGGGGAUCUUCGGACCUUGCGCGAUUGAAUGAGCCGAUGUCGGAUUAGCUAGUUGGCGGGGUAAAGGCCCACCAAGGCGACGAUCCGUAGCUGGUCUGAGAGGAUGGUCAGCAACACUGGAACUUAGACGCGGUCGCGACCCCUGCGGGAGCAAGCAGUGCGGAGUGUUGGAGAAUGGGCGCAGGUCGUGUCGAGCCAUUCCGCGUGGAAGAAAAGAGGCUUCGGGUUGUAAAGCCCUUUUGUUGGGAAAAAAAGACAGAGGGUUAAUCCCCCGCGGUCCUGACGCGGCCCAAAGAGAAGGCACGGGCUAGCUUCGUG
rnacentral:rRNA from 1 species